rnacentral:rRNA from 1 species
UACGGGGGGGGUAAGCGUUGUUCGGAAUUACUGGGCGUAAAGGGCUCGUAGGCGGCCAACUAAGUCGGACGUGAAAUCCCUCAGCUUAACUGGGGAACUGCGUCCGAUACUGGAUGGCUUGGAUUUGGGAGAGGGAUGCGGAAUUCCAGGUGUAGCGGUGAAAUGCGUAGAUAUCUGGAGGAACACCGGUGGCGAAGGCGGCAUCCUGGACCAAUAUUGACGCUGAGGAGCGAAAGCCAGGGGAGCAAACGGA